rnacentral:rRNA from 1 species
UCGAUACUGACACUGAGGUGCGAAAGCGUGGGAGCAAACGGGAUUAGAUACCCCGGUAGUCACGCCGUAAACGAUGUCUACUAGCCGUUGGAGGACUUGAUCCUUUAGUGGCGCAGCUAACGCGAUAAGUAGACCGCCUGGGGAGUACGGUCGCAAGAUUAAAACUCAAAUGAAUUGACGGGGGCCCGCACAAGCGGUGGAGCAUGUGGUUUAAUUCGAAGCAACGCGAAGAACCUUACCUACUCUUGACAUCCAGUGAACUUUUGAGAGAUCAAUUGGUGCCUUCGGGAACACUGAGACAGGUGCUGCAUGGCUGUCGUCAGCUCGUGUUGUGAAAUGUUGGGUUAAGUCCCGUAACGAGCGCAACCCUUGUCCUUAGUUACCAUCAUUAAGUUGGGGACUCUAAGGAGACUGCCGGUGACAAACCGGAGGAAGGCGGGGACGACGUCAAGUCAUCAUGGCCCUUACGAGUAGGGCUACACACGUGCUACAAUGGCAUGUACAAAGGGUUGCCAAGCCGCGAGGUGGAGCUAAUCCCAUAAAGCAUGUCGUAGUCCGGAUUGGAGUCUGCAACUCGACUCCAUGAAGUCGGAAUCGCUAGUAAUCGUGAAUCAGAAUGUCACGGUGAAUACGUUCCCGGGCCUUGUACACACCGCCCGUCACACCAUGGGAGUGGGUUGCUCCAGAAGUAGAUAGCUUAACCUUCGGGAGGGCGUUUACCACGGAGUGAUUCAUGACUGGGGUGAAGUCGUAACAAGGUAGCCGUA